UAGAUUGAAGCCAGUUGAUUAAGGUAUUUAGCUGUUAACUAAAAGUUCGUAAGAUAUAAGCUUACCAAUCUAG
rnacentral:tRNA from 1 species